CUGCAACUCGCCUGCAUGAAGUCGGAAUUGCUAGUAAUCGCGGAUCAGCAUGCCGCGGUGAAUACGUUCUCGGGCCUUGUACACACCGCCCGUCACACCAUGGGAGUCGGUAACACCCGAAGUCUGUAGCCUGACGCAAGAGGGCGCAGCCGAAGGUGGGAUUGAUGACUGGGGUGAAGUCGUAACAAGGUAGC
rnacentral:rRNA from 1 species